GUGGGGAAUAUUGGGCAAUGGGGGAAACCCUGACCCAGCAACGCCGCGUGAGGGAAGAAGGUUUUCGGAUUGUAAACCUCUGUCCUUGGUGACGAAGGAAGUGACGGUAACCAAGGAGGAAGCCCCGGCUAACUACGUGCCAGCAGCCGCGGUAAUACGUAGGGGGCAAGCGUUGUCCGGAAUGACUGGGCGUAAAGGGCGUGUAGGCGGCCGAUUAAGUCUGGAGUGAAAGUCCUGCUUUCAAGGUGGGAAUUGCUUUGGAGACUGGUUGGCUUGAGUGCGGAAGAGGUAAGUGGAAUUCCCAGUGUAGCGGUGAAAUGCGUAGAGAUUGGGAGGAACACCAGUGGCGAAGGCGACUUACUGGGCCGUAACUGACGCUGAGGCGCGAAAGCGUGGGGAGCGAACAGGAUUAGAUACCCCGGUAGUCC
rnacentral:rRNA from 1 species